rnacentral:rRNA from 1 species
CCUACGGGAGGCAGCAGUAAGGAAUAUUGCACAAUGGGCGCAAGCCUGAUGCAGCAACGCCGCGUGCCCGAGGACGGCCUUCGGGUUGUAAAGGGCUUUUCUGGCUGAAGAGGAAGGACAGUAGGCCAGGAAUAAGCGUCGGCUAACUACGUGCCAGCAGCCGCGGUAAU